AGCAGCCGCGGUAAUUCCAGCUCCAAUAGCGUAUAUUAAAGUUGUUGCAGUUAAAAAAGCUCGUAGUUGAAUUUCGGGGUUAGUAGGUUGGUCAUGCCUCUGGUAUGUACUGGUCUCACUGAUUCCUCCUUCCUGAUGAACCUUAAUGCCAUUAAUUUGGUGUUUUGGGGAAUUUGGACUGUUACUCUGAAAAAAUUAGAGUGUUUAAAGCAAGCUAACGCUUGAAUACAUUAGCAUGGAAUAAUGAAAUAGGACGUUCGAUCCUAUUUUGUUGGUUUCUAGGAUUGACGUAAUGAUUAAUAGGGAUAGUUGGGGGGCAUUAGUAUUCAAUUGUCAGAGGUGAAAUUCUUGGAUUUAUUGAAGACUAACUACUGCGAAAGCAUUUGCCAAGGAUGUUUUCAUUAAUCAAGAACGAAAGUUAGGGGAUCGAAGACGAUCAGAUACCGUCGUAGUCUUAACCAUAAACUAUGCCGACUAGGGGAUCGGGAUGAUGUUAAUUUUUUAAUGUACUCAUUCGGCG
rnacentral:rRNA from 1 species